rnacentral:rRNA from 1 species
UGAGUAACACGUAUGCAACCUGCCUGCCACAGCCGGAUAAUCGGGAGAAAUUCCGUCUAAUACGGCAUAAUGCAUCGACGGGACAUCCUGUUGGUGCCAAAGGUUAAUUCCGGUGGCGGAUGGGCAUGCGUCGCAUUAGUUAGUUGGCGGUGUAACGGACCACCAAGACGACGAUGCGUAGGGGUUCUGAGAGGAAGGUCCCCCACACUGGUACUGAGACACGGACCAGCUCCUACGGAAGGCAGCAG